rnacentral:rRNA from 1 species
UACGUCGGGGUCGAGCGUUGUCCGGAGUUACUGGGCGUAAAGCGUGUGCAGGCGGCGCAUCGCGCCCGGCGUGAAAGCCCCCGGCUCAACCGGGGAGGGUCGUCGGGGACGGGUGCGCUUGAGGGUAUCAGGGGCAGGUAGAAUUCCCGGUGUAGUGGUGAAAUGCGUAGAGAUCGGGAGGAAUACCCGUGGCGAAGGCGGCCUGCUGGGAUACACCUGACGCUGAGACACGAAGGCGUGGGGAGCGAACGGG